UCGAAUGUCCCGGGGUAACGGUGGAGAGCUCUCUACGCUUUUUCGUUUUCGUCUCUGGCCUGUGGUUUGCGGUUGAGAUUCGCGAUCGUUUGAGAUCGCCGGUCGUGCUUGCGUUGUCGGUGAGUUGAGUGAGCUCUCCAGCAGCUGUUCUGCGUCGGUCGGUUUUGUUGUUGUUGUUGUUUGUGUGGCGUCCGAGUCGACGCAGGUCGAUCGCGGGACUCUGAUCUCGAGCAGAGUUUAGUAAGUUCCGAGAGCGAUUGUCGGAAAUAGGAUUGAGCUUAAGUGUGGGGCGCCUCGAAACCAGCUUUCGUAGCUGGAGAGGUGACUGUGGAAGAGAGAGGUGUUUGCUUUUGCCUCUUCGGAGUGACCAGCAAGCUGUUCUUGGCUUCUCCGGUCGCGGCCUUUUACUUCGUGGUUUGCUCGAUCUCCGUCUCUUGUUUGAGCAGAGUUGCUCGGAUGGUUGGAUAAAGUCUGAGUUCUUGGUGAUUGUAGGUGUCGGAGUGAAUGAUCGAACCGCACUGUUGUCAGUCUCUUGUCCAAGCAAGUAGAAACUGCGCUCUAGGUUGUUCGGCUCGCUAUGCUUGUGGCUAUAAUUGUUGUUGCACAAAUGGAAGAGUUACAAACCUCUUUUUUUUCCUAUAUUUUCUUCGGCUUCUCGCUAGAUUCCUUUUCCAGUUUAAGUGGAGUUGGGGCUGGUGAUUUCUUGCUUCUAAUUUUACUGGAAUCCCCCAAUUGGACAUGUUUUUAGAAAGCACGAGUUUGUGUACUAUCUCCUAGCUUCUACUUGGGUACUUCCUUUUUGCUUUAUGAUUGUUAUGAGAUUCUAUGCAGAUAUAUGCAUUUUUGGAUGUGUCAGUUUAAUUUUAAGUGCAAUAUCUGGAUAUACAGUUUGUUGCGUAGCUCCACCAAUCAGCAUGUGUGCAUUUAUUGGUAACUUUGCUCUCGAUUUGAGGAAAUGAAAUAAGUGAAUCAGUAAUUUCAAGUGCUUUAAAUUGGGAGACCCAGAAGAACGUUCAUUGUCCUCACCAGUGAUGGAAAAACUAGAUGCUGAUUACUUGUCAGUUUGGAAAAGCUAUGGACCACGUGGUGCUUUGGGUGCUCUUCUUGUUGCCAUAGCUAUACCUAUUCUUCUCUCCACUAUGCUCUUGGGAAAGAAAAAAGUGAAACAAAGAGGAGUACCUGUAGUGGUGGGUGGUGAGGCUGGUUAUGCCAUACGCAAUAGUAGAUCGCCUGAAUUGGUUGAAGUUCCUUGGAAGGGUGCAACAACCAUGGCAGCUCUGUUUGAGCAAUCUUGUAAGAAACAUUCACGACAGAGAUGUCUUGGGACAAGGAAACUUAUUAGCAAGGAGAUUGUCACAGCUGGUGAUGGUAGGAAUUUCGAAAAAUUACACUUGGGAGAUUAUGAAUGGAUCACUUAUCGAGAGGCUUUUGACCGUGCUUGCAACUUUGCAUCUGGACUUGUUAGUUUGGGUCAUAAUGUGGAUAGCCGUGCAGCCAUAUUUGCAGAUACUCGAGCAGAAUGGUUCAUUGCCUUUCAGGGGUUCUUUCGGCAGGAUAUUACUGUUGUCACCAUCUAUGCUUCUCUAGGUGAGGAUGCGCUAGUUCAUUCCCUCAAUGAGACCCAAGUUUCAACCCUGGUCUGCGAUUUCAAACAGUUGAAGAAGUUGGCUGCAAUAAGUUCAAAAUUAACGACAAUUCAGAAUGUCAUUUAUUUUGAUGAUGGUGAACCAGAGAAUGAUUCUAAAUUAUCUGGAAGCAUUAGCAAUUGGAUUGUGAAAUCAUUUUCUGAGAUUGAGAAACUUGGCAAAGAAAUGCCUUCCCCUCCUAGCCUACCAUCUAAAAAUGGGGUUGCUGUCAUAAUGUACACGAGCGGAAGUACUGGUCUGCCUAAGGGUGUCAUGAUUACUCAUGGCAACAUCGUGGCUACUGCUGCAGCAGUUACAACUGUGGUCCCAAAAUUGGGUAGGGAUGAUGUUUACCUGGCGUACUUGCCCCUAGCCCAUGUUUUUGAAUUGGCAGCUGAGUCUGUGAUGUUGGUUGCAGGUUGUGCCAUCGGUUAUGGGUCAACACUGACCAUAACAGACACAUCUAGCAAAAUUAAGAAGGGUACAAAGGGAGAUGCUUCUGCAUUGAAGCCGACUGUCAUGACUGCAGUUCCUGCCAUCCUGGAUCGUGUUCGAGAUGGAGUUCUGAAAAAGGUUGAAGAGAAAGGUGGUUUAGUCAAAAGUCUAUUCGACAUUGGAUAUAAGCGUCGACUGGCUGCUAUAGAAGGAAGCUGGUUUGGAGCUCGGGGACUGGAAAGCAUGUUGUGGGAUCUCAUAGUUUUUAAGAAGAUUCGCACAGUACUAGGGGGUCAUAUCCGAUUUAUGCUUUGUGGUGGAGCUCCUUUAUCCAGUGAUACCCAGCGGUUUAUCAACAUCUGCAUGGGGGCUCCUAUUGGUCAAGGUUAUGGCUUGACAGAAACCUGUGCUGGGGCUGCAUUUACUGAGUUUGAUGACGACAGUGUGGGCCGUGUUGGCCCACCGCUGCCGUGUGGCUAUAUCAAGCUUGUUUCUUGGGAAGAAGGUGCGUAUAGAAUAUCAGACAAACCAAUGCCUCGAGGAGAAGUUGUAGUUGGUGGGACCAGCAUCACUGCCGGUUACUUUAACAAUGAGGAAAAAACUAAGGAGGUGUAUCGGGUUGACGAGACGGGCAUGCGUUGGUUCUAUACCGGCGAUAUCGGACAGUUUCAUCCUGAUGGCUGCCUUGAAAUUAUUGACCGGAAGAAAGAUAUUGUUAAACUUCAGCAUGGGGAGUAUAUAUCUCUUGGAAAGGUCGAAGCUGCAUUGAUCUCAAGCAAGUAUGUAGAUAACAUCAUGGUAUAUGCAGAUCCAUUCCACAACUAUUGUGUAGCUUUAGUUGUUCCUGCACGGCAGGUGCUGGAGAAAUGGGCCAAUGAAGCUGGUGUUAAUUACAGUGAUUAUGUCGAGCUGUGCGACAAAACUGAGGCAGUGGCCGAGAUUAAGAGAUCAUUUUCUGAGGUAGCCAAGGCAGCAAAACUGGACAAGUUUGAAAAUCCGGCAAAAAUCAAAUUGCUGCCAGAACCAUGGACACCAGAAUCGGGAUUAGUCACUGCUGCGCUCAAAAUAAAGAGAGAACAGCUAAAGGCCAGGUUCAAAGACGAGCUCCAAAAGCUGCACGAGUGAAAUGUGCGUAGGCUUUGAUGCUUACUUGCUUGCCAUAUCGUUCCAGCCAUAGAGGGACAUGGGCUUGAAGAUCCAACCAUGUGGAGAACCACCGAACAUCAUGCAAGUCCCCCCAUAAACCAAUUAAGUCCAAACCAUUUACUUAUAUCAGUUUGCUCGCAGAUAGUGACAUUUGAUCGGAAGACCUCCGAUUCUUAAAAUGGAAAUCCCCCGACGUCGCCAGCCAUCUGCGCCGAUCCUAGAUUGUCGAAAGCUGGUUUACUAAGUAUCAGAGAUGUCUUUUACAACUGCUUUUCUAGAGCCAUCUCGGUUUGCAUCAAACGUUGCAAUGAUUAUGGAUCAUGUAUCUCAUCAAUCAGCACCUUAUAAUGGAAACAAAUCCAAAAAGAAUAAAAGACCACAGGGAGAGAGACCUGAAUUUUUCCACCUUUGGACCUUUGCAUUACACAAGCUAUUGCUUUCCU